UGUGAACUGUCGGAAGCGAAGUCAGUCGUCUUGUACUGUGAUUCCCGGUGUGUGGUGUUGUUUUUGUGUGAGUUGGAACGGUGAUUUAAUGUAACAUGGCAUUGAUUACAAAUGCAUUUACUUUUUUCUGUAGUUUAAUAUCUAAAGUCAGGAUUCAUUCUAUAUGAAAUGUGUGUAAUAUUAUAAUUUGAUGUUGCCCUCAUGCAGCAAGAUAUAUUUAAAAACCAAGAUGCCAGGAUGCGAAAACCCAAGAUCAUCUGCAUGGUGAUCAGCUUGUUUGUGAUAUGGGGUUUGCUGUACGUGCCAUUGAAGCCAGGAUCUCAUCUUCCUCUGCCAGAGAACCUCUCUUGGAUGAUGUCUCAGCGUGACCUUAACAAAUAUAUCCUUCCAAAUAACGAUACUAGUAUACUUUUGCCAAAAUUACAGUGCAGUGGUAGCAUCUUUCUUGUUGUGGUAGUUUGUUCUGCAGUUCCUAAUUUUGAAGCCAGGCGGGCCAUUCGCAAUACUUGGGUACAGGAUGCCAGGAAACUCCACAGUGUUCAGGUUUUCUUCCUUUUGGGCAAAUCCAGGAAUCAGACUGUUAAUGUUGCUGUUGCCAAUGAGAGCAGCAAGUAUGGUGAUAUCAUCCAGCAAGACUUUAUCGACACAUACAAUAAUUUAACUUUAAAAUCUGUGAUGUUACUGAAAUGGACAAAUCAGAACUGUACAAAUGCUAAAUAUGUGAUGAAAACAGAUGACGAUAUGUUCGUCAAUCUUCCAAAUUUAUUCCGGCUCCUGAAAGCAAAGGGGCACAAGGGUUUGUUACUUGGUUGCUUAAUCAAAGGUGCUGUUCCAGUCAAAGAUUGGAAUUCCAAGUGGUUCGUCCCUGAAGUGGUAUUUCCAGGACGUGUCUACCCUCCUUACCUCUCAGGUACUGGGUAUGUUAUGUCCCGAGAUGCCGCUGACCUUCUUUAUCGAACUGCUCUCAGCACUCCCUUUUUUUACCUAGAGGAUAUUUUUGUAACUGGUAUUUGUGGAAAUAGAGUUGGUCUAAAACCUAUAAAUAAUGAUGGCUUCAAAUUUUACAAACGGAAGAAUGACAUGUGUGUUUUCAGGGCACUCAUUACAGCCCACAAAAUGACUCCAAAGGAGCUGGUACAAGUAUGGAAAAAUAUUCGCAAUCCGUCCGUCAAAUGCAAGUCCUGAAUGGGGUAAAAAAUAGGACUAGGGGGGGUCUAAUUUUGUGAUGUUUUAGUUAAAGAAGCUUUGGUGUCUGCCAUCCCGAAUACUUUUGGAUAAAAAGUGUUCAAUAAACUCUGUCCAAGAAGAAUUUUAUAGUACACUUUCCAUCAUUUGAAUAAUUUUUUUUAAUAGCUAAAGGCAGUUUUUUUAUGUGCCCCACUGAAAUUAUGGAUUUCAGCAAAGUGCCAUUUUCAUAAACUUUCAUUCUCUGACUAUUUGCCCUUUAUGUUAUUGAUAAUUAUAUAUUGUUUGGUUCUAAGUCUGAAGCUUGAAGUUAUGCCAUUCUGCAAAUCGAUACCAACGCAUUGUAAAAGUAAGAUGUAGAAAAGAGAAUUUUCGAACAAAGAUCGAGUUGCGAUUUUCCAGUUCUUGAUACAUCAAAAGAAAAACGAAAAGUGGCACAAAGGUGAAUUACAUUAGCUGCAAAACGAUUUAAGUGCAAUAGAAUAAGCAUAUCAAGAAUUUGGAUAAGUGCUUCCAAAAAUAAUUGUGAAGGUGAUUCUUAUGCUAAUGUUAAUUCUUUGAAAAACAAAACUGGACAUAAAUGCAAAAAUUAUGGAGAAAAACUGGAAAAGCGUAGACUUAUUCAUGUUAGCAGAAGAAGCACCAUAGAUGCGGUAAACAUAACCCUUGAUAUUUCUCCUGGAUAAUACAUCUGCUGAAUAAUACAUUUCUAUCACUUCAACAAGCUAUGCUGGAAGCAGUGAAGAAUAAUGGCCCCAAUAAUUUUAAACUCAUGCAUAUAGGAAAAGCAAAGCUUUACAGCCAAGGUAAAAAGCCUACAAAUUUUAAAUAAAGUAAUGAUAUUAUUGAAAAAUCCAGAAACUGUCUGAACAGUAAUAGUAAAAAUUGGGAACAAUAUUUUUUUAUUUAUUGUUUAAUUUAAUCUAAUUUUUUUAUAAUAAAUGUUGCAUUUUUAAUUAAUUUUCUUUUGCUACUAUUAUUAUGGGACAGAGGAAGUGUACUAACAUGUAUAAUUUCUGCAAUACUCAAGGAACUGAGAGACAGAUGACAUAAUAGAGGGACUAAUAAUAUAAUUGAGGACAGUUAAAGUCAGAUAAUCUAGUUUCCAGUCGUUUGCCACACUCAGUAAUUUGAAUGCAUAUAGAAGUGCCAUUUUUCAUGCUUGUAGCUGCCAACUUUCAUGGUUCAAUUGGGACACAUCCAGUUUUUCAACAUGUCUCAUUGUAAAUCUUCAGAUCUCCCAUUUUUUAAUUUUUGAGCUUUUACUAAGGAAAAUGCUUCUUCCCAGUAACUAAAAUGUUUUGAAUUAAUGAAACUUAAAUUGUGUAAAUUUAUUCCCCAUUCCUAAUGAUGUUCAACAUAAUUUUUCUUAUUAAAUUAUAAUUAUACUAAGCCUUUCUAAUUAAAUUUUAUUUGAUCUCUAUUGAAUCUAUUGCAAUUUUUAAUUAAUUAACAUUUGCAUUUAUUUUUUUUACGUCAGUUUAGGAUAUAUUACUGAGUUAAUAUACUGAUAUUAAUUAUUAAUUUUUUUAAAAGUACUUUGAUAAAUAAAAGCAUUGCUUGCUUAUGCAGGAAUUUUUCAGUAUAAAAGUGUUAGAAAAUUACAAAAUGAAGUUAACCAAAGAACAUAAAUUUGAAAUAUCUACUCAAGCAUUAAUACAAUCUAAAUCGUAUUGUAAAUACUUCAGUAACUGUAACUAUGCCUUAUAAAGUAAAUUUAAACUUAUUUUGAGUUCUUUUGAAAUGAUAUCGCAGUAUCAGAAACUCCCAGUUUUUCAUAUUUUGAAGUUAGCAGCUAUGUUAUGUAAUUUGGCAUUUUUUUUAGUAUAGCAUUGUUAUGCAGCAGAAUUGUUUUAAUGAAAGCGAAAUAUUAAUAGCCCAUUAAUUAUUCUAAACUGCUGAAAUCAGUCCAGAGUGAAACAGUUUUCUAGUCUCAACUUUAUGAUGAAAAAAUAUGCCAAAUGUAUUUGUAAAACUGAGAACUGCAAAGCAUUGGAGAUGUAAUAAAAUUAGAUUUUCUCCUUCAUGAUGUUUUGAUGAAAAGGCUGACUUUUGAACUUCAAAAUAUCUUCCUGCAACAUCAGUAUAUUAAAUUCCAAAACAAAUUGAUUAAGAAUAAUAAGUUAUGCAUAUGUAUUAUUCAUAGUUUAUCUUCUAGUAUGCUUUUGGUCUUUAAGUGUAUUUGUAGAAUUACUCUAUGUAGAACUUUGUUAAAAUUUUAUAUACCUAAAAUAGCUUAAAUUGUGUUUUUUAACUUUUUUUGGCCAUCAUGUAUUAUCUUGAUAACUUGUGUUAUUUGGAAAUUUAACUAUUUGGCAUACUCGAGUUCCUAAAAUUAUUUUGUUAUUGAACUUUUACCAUACUAUUAAUGUAUUUUCCCUUUUAUUAUUUUCUUUAAAAUUUUUAAUUUUAGUAAGUUAUUUUUUACAUCAAAAUACAGCAUUCAUUAUGUAUAAGCAUACAAAAUGCAUGUUAAUUGACCUUUAUAUUAUUAGUGAGAUUUAUGAUAAAUACAGAUUAAUGCAUCUCUAAUGAAACUUCCUAUGAGAAUGUGUAUUCCAACAAUGUGGGAUGUUGCAGUCUCUAAUUUUUGCAUUAAUUCAAGGGUCAACUUGAAUAGAUUUAAACUGGUAUGCUGUUUUGUAUCUACCAUAUUUGACGACAUAUAAGACGCACCCUUAUUUAGAAGGCCACUCAAAAGGAAAAAAAAAAAGUUUUAAUAGUCCGCGCGAAAGCGCGGUACCACAAUAACUUAAAAUGUGGUUUCUUUCAGUUCUCACGUUUCG
rnacentral:misc_RNA from 1 species